rnacentral:rRNA from 2 species
UGAGGAAUAUUGGUCAAUGGACGAGAGUCUGAACCAGCCAAGUAGCGUGAAGGAUGACUGCCCUAUGGGUUGUAAACUUCUUUUAUACGGGAAUAAAGUGAGGCACGCGUGCCUUUUUGUAUGUACCGUAUGAAUAAGGAUCGGCUAACUCCGUGCCAGCAGCCGCGGUAAUACGGAGGAUCCGAGCGUUAUCCGGAUUUAUUGGGUUUAAAGGGAGCGUAGGCGGACGCUUAAGUCAGUUGUGAAAGUUUGCGGCUCAACCGUAAAAUUGCAGUUGAUACUGGGUGUCUUGAGUACAGUAGAGGCAGGCGGAAUUCGUGGUGUAGCGGUGAAAUGCUUAGAUAUCACGAAGAACUCCGAUUGCGAAGGCAGCCUGCUGGACUGUAACUGACGCUGAUGCUCGAAAGUGUGGGUAUCAAACAGG